rnacentral:rRNA from 1 species
UACGUAGGGCGCAAGCGUUGUCCGGAAUUAUUGGGCGUAAAGAGCUCGUAGGCGGUUUGUCGCGUCUGCUGUGAAAUCCCGAGGCUCAACCUCGGGCUUGCAGUGGGUACGGGCAGACUAGAGUGCGGUAGGGGAGACUGGAAUUCCUGGUGUAGCGGUGAAAUGCGCAGAUAUCAGGAGGAACACCGGUGGCGAAGGCGGGGUCUCUGGG